AGGCAGCAGUAGGGAAUUUUCGUCAAUGGGCGCAAGCCUGAACGAGCAAUGCCGCGUGAACGAGGAAGGUCUUCGGAUCGUAAAGUUCUGUUGAAGGGGAAAAAGAGCGGAGAGAGGAAAUGGUCUCCGAUUGAUAUUACCCUUCGAGGAAGUCACGGCUAACUACGUCGCC
rnacentral:rRNA from 1 species